rnacentral:rRNA from 1 species
ACAGAGGGUGCGAACGUUGUUCGGAAUUACUGGGCGUAAAGCGCGUGUAGGCGGCUCUGGAGGUCGGAUGUGAAAGCCCUGGGCUCAACCCAGGAAGCGCAUUCGAAACCCUCGAGCUCGAGUCCCGGAGAGGAAGGCGGAAUUCUCGGUGUAGAGGUGAAAUUCGUAGAUAUCGAGAGGAACACCUGCGGCGAAGGCGGCCUUCUGGACGGUGACUGACGCUGAGACGCGAAAGCGUGGGGAGCGAACAGGA